AUUAGUGGCGCACGGGUGAGUAAUGCAUAGAUAAUGUGCCCCUUAGUUCGGGAUAGCCACUGGAAACGGUGAUUAAUACCGGAUACUCCUUCUUGUUAUAAGACAAGUCGGGAAAGUUUUUCGCUAAGGGAUCAGUCUAUGUUCCAUCAGCUUGUUGGUGAGGUAAUGGCUCACCAAGGCUAUGACGGAUAUCUGGUUUGAGAGGAUGAUCAGACACACUGGAACUGAGACACGGUCCAGACUCCUACGGGAGGCAGCAGUGAGGAAUAUUGCACAAUGGAGGAAACUCUGAUGCAGCAACGCCGCGUGGAGGAUGACGCAUUUCGGUGUGUAAACUCCUUUUAUUAGGGAAGAUAAUGACGGUACCUAAUGAAUAAGCACCGGCUAACUCCGUGCCAGCAGCCGCGGUAAUACGGAGGGUGCAAGCGUUACUCGGAAUCACUGGGCGUAAAGGGUGCGUAGGCUGGCUUUUAAGUCAGAUGUGAAAUCCAAUGGCUCAACCAUUGAACUGCAUUUGAAACUGAAAGCCUAGAGUUCAGAAGGGGCAGAUGGAAUUAGUGGUGUAGGGGUAAAAUCCGUAGAUAUCACUAGGAAUAUCAAAAGCGAAGGCGAUCUGCU
rnacentral:rRNA from 1 species